UACGUAGGGUGCGAGCGUUGUCCGGAAUUACUGGGCGUAAAGCGCUCGUAGGCGGUUUGUCGCGUUGUCCGUGAAAACUCACAGCUUAACUGUGGGCGUGCGGGCGAUACGGGCAGACUGGAGUACUGCAGGGGAGACUGGAAUUCCUGGUGUAGCGGUGGAAUGCGCAGAUAUCAGGAGGAACACCGGUGGCGAAGGCGGGUCUCUGGGCAGUAACUGACGCUGAGGAGCGAAAGCGUGGGGAGCGAACAGG
rnacentral:rRNA from 1 species